AUCACAAUUUAAAAAGCCUAUCAAAACAUAACAAAACCGUGUCUUAUAUUUGCCAAAAAUAAAAUAAAAUCUGUCUAUCACCCAAAUCUCGCAAAUCAUCUCUCUCUAAGAUGAAAAACUAGAGAGAGAAACACACGUCCACUCCUCUCUCUUUUUUUAACAUCAUAUAUAAAUAUAUAGUCUCUCUCUAGAUUAUGUUCCUUACAUGGAUUGAUUUGAGCAUUAUUAUUUUUUUGUUGAGUGAGUAAGAAAGCGAAGAAGAUGUCUUUGUCUCGCACGUGCUCACAGUGCGGCAACAACGGCCACAACUCGAGAACAUGCAACGACGGUGGAGAAGAAAAAAGCAUCAUGAUUUUUGGUGUUCGACUCACCGGAGGAAACAACCACCUCAACACCACCACCACCAACACCACCAUCAACAACUCUUUCAGAAAAAGUGCUAGCAUGACCAACCUCUCUCAAUAUGAACAACCACCUCCACAAGAUUCCAACCCCGCCGAUGCCGGUUAUGUAUCCGAUGACAUCGUUCAUGCCUCUGGUCGAUCCAGAGAACGCAAACGAGGUGUUCCUUGGACAGAAGAAGAACACAAGUUGUUCUUGUUGGGAUUGCAACAAGUUGGUAAAGGUGAUUGGAGAGGAAUUUCUAGAAACUUUGUGAAAACUAGGACACCAACUCAGGUUGCAAGUCAUGCUCAGAAGUAUUUCCUCCGCCGUCAUAACCAGAAUCGCCGCCGCCGGAGAUCCAGUCUCUUUGAUAUUACCACCGAUACGGUGAUGGAACCUUCAACUAUAAUGGAAGAUGAUCAAUUUCAGCAAGAAACAGUGGUGCCACUGCCACCACCAACCCCCGCCGCAUAUCCAUCCUCACAUUAUGGCGGCAUCCCCGGGACACCUUUUCCGAUGGGUCUUGGUCCGGUAACAUUGCCGGUGAUGAGUGCUGAAAGAGUGGCCAAGCCAAUUAGGCCAACACCAAUGCUGCCUCCUUCUUCUAAGAUGGCUAAUCUGAACUUGAAAGAUAAAGCUUCUUCUUCUUCCAUUGAGCCUUUUCCAUUGUCAUUGAAACUGCAACCUUCACCUCCAUCGGAGGAUCAUUCACCGGAAAGCAGCGGCCAUUCAUCGUCAUCGGCUUCAUCAUCGACUUUUAAAACCAUGGCUGCAGGGAAGUAUAAUGGUGGGGGUGGGGAUAGCAUUAUCAGUGUUGCUUGAAAAUUUAGUUUGGUCAAGUUUUUUCUUGGUUGACUUGGUUUGUAAAUUGAGGGCAAAGUUGGAAAUAUACCCAAGAAAAAUAAUAGAAAAUCAAUAAAUUAAGUAGAGGAUAAUAUAAUAUAAAUAGGAGAGACUAGGGAGGGACUAGAGAGGAUAAUAUGAUACAUGAAUCAUGAGAAUGAUUAUGGUUAAUAUGAUUAAGAAUUUGGAAAAAAGAAGAAGAUAAUGUUAGGUUAUGUAGGUGAUUAGCUAAAUUAAUUGGUGGUUUUUGAUGUACAUGUUUGGAUGGAUUAUUAAAUUGAGAAAGAUAAAAUGGGUUGGGCAUAUUCUAUUCUAUUUUGUAUGGCUGUUGGGGGAUUCUUGUUUCUAUUUGUCUGGGGGAGUGUGACCUUGAAGUGAUAGGGCAGUGGGUACUCUUGGUCUCUUAUUGGGUCUAUUUCUUGCAACUUGGUGUAUUAAAUAGUUUGGACAAGAGGAAUAUAUUUUAUGCUUUUUUAAUUUAAUGGUAGUAAUUUUUUAUGUUU